GUGGGGAAUAUUGGACAAUGGGCGCAAGCCUGAUCCAGCCAUGCCACGUGAGUGAUGAAGGCCCUAGGGUUGUAAAGCUCUUUCACCGGUGAAGAUAAUGACGGUAACCGGAGAAGAAGCCCCGGCUAACUUCGUGCCAGCAGCCGCGGUAAUACGAAGGGGGCUAGCGUUGUUCGGAAUUACUGGGCGUAAAGCGCACGUAGGCGGACAGUUAAGUCAGGGGUGAAAUCCCGGGGCUCAACCCCGGAACUGCCUUUGAUACUGGGUGUCUGGAGUAUGGAAGAGGUAAGUGGAAUUCCGAGUGUAGAGGUGAAAUUCGUAGAUAUUCGGAGGAACACCAGUGGCGAAGGCGGCUUACUGGUCCAUUACUGACGCUGAGGUGCGAAAGCGUGGGGAGCAAACAGGAUUAGAAACCCGGGUAGUCC
rnacentral:rRNA from 1 species